rnacentral:misc_RNA from 1 species
UCGGGAGUGCCUUCGGGCUCAACCUGCAACCCAAUGUCUUUACAACCCUUGUUUCUUUGGCGGGCUCCGCCCGUCAGAAGAAUUCUUCAACCCGUUCUAAACGUGUCUUCUGAACAAACGAUUGAAUAAAAUCA